ensembl:lncRNA
GACAAGCUGAAGGGUUUGGACUUAAUCCUGAGGUCAACAGGGAGUCAUUAAAUUUUUAAUUAGGAUGGAUAACAUGAUCAGAUUAGAUGUUUUACAUGAUCACAAGACAGUAUAAGAAUGAACAAAUAGAUCAUUGAAACAGACUAGAAAGUCCAUAAAUAGACCUGUGUAUUUAUGGUAAUUUAGUAUGUUAUAAAGCUGGUAUUAAAAAAUUUUUAAAUCUAUGGGAAAAGGAAAUUGCAUUAGAAGGCCAAAUAUUGUGGGAUUUUCCCACUAGGGUUAGGAUCCUGAUUUCAGCAGUUAAUAUCUGUAUGAAUUGGGCAAAUUACAUAAGCAUUUGAUGCUUUCCUUGCUUCCCUUUAAAAUGUUUUAUUUAGCGACUUGUUUGGCACUCUAGUAGCUAAGACAUUGCACUCUCACUGCAGGGGGCCUGGGUUCAAUCCCUGGUUGAGGAACUAAGAUCUUGUAUGCCAGAGAUAGCCAAAAAAUAGAAAAAAAACUUAAAUGUUUUAUUUAAUCCUCAAAACAACCCCAAUAAGAUAGUAUUGAAUUGAACAGUACCUGAUAGAAGUGGUAUUCAGUAAAUGAUAGUGAUGAUUGUAUUAUAAUAACAAGUUGGCUAUCCACUUGAAAAAAGGUUUAUAUUUCUGCCUCUUAUCCUUCAUGAGAUCCUCAUAGCCUUCAAGUGGAUCAAAGUCUAAAUAUUUUUUAAGCCAUGGAAGUAUUCAGCUCAGUUCACUCAGUCUUGUCCGACUCUUUGCAACCCCAUGGACUGCAGUACUCCAGGCUUCCCUGUCCAUCACCGACUCCCAGAGCUUGCUCAGACUCAUGUCUGUCAAGUCGAUGAUGCCAUCCAACAUGGAAGUAUUAGGAAAAGAAAAAGGAAAAUGUAUAUAAGCUCUGAGUAGACUUCUUAAAGAGGGCUUCCUGGUGGCACUAGUGAUAAAGAACUCGCCUGCCAAUGCAGGAGACAUAAGAGACGCAGGUUCAAUCCCUGGAUUCGGAAGAUCCCCUGGAGAAGAGCAUGGCAGUCCACUCCAGUAUUCUUGCCUGGAGAAUCCUAUGGACAGAAGAGCUUGACAGGCUACAGUCCAUGGGGUUGCAGAGUCGGACAUGACUGUUUGAAGUCGUGUCACUGAAGUGACUCAGCAGCAAAAUUCUUGAAGAAGAUGAAGAAUGUAAAAGCCAUGAAAGGAAAAAUAAGUGUGGAGACAUUAAAAUUAGGUUUAUCUGCAAAAGACUUCCCCCAACAUUAAGACAAAUGACUGACAAAAUUUUCCAAUGUAUAUGAUAAGCGUGUAAGGACAUGGGUAGUCCUGUAGUGCUGACAAGAAGCCCAUAUUUGGUGUAUGGAGGCAGAUAAUUUGCCUUCUGGGUACAGAAAUCUCUUGAUCAAAACACAGCUCCCAAUUCUGUUACUACUACAUGCACUCCUUGCUGUAGAGACUACUGUGCCACACACACCUCGAUAUCCUGGGCUUUGAACAUGAUGUUG